CAGUUCAACCAUAACCCUUUUUUGGUUUAGUACUUGAACAUUGACCUAGUGAGAAUUUUGGCUCUAGCAUCGAGUCGAUUAAGGCUUGAACGCGAGCCAAAUCGAAUCGAGGCUCGAGCUAAAAUGCUCGACUUGAACUCUAAAAUUUGCUUGAAAAUGUGGGAAAACGAACUCUUGAUUUUUGGUCAGUGUGUAGUGAGAGGUAAUUUUGACGUUUGAUCAAUUCUCAAUGUGAGUGUUCGUGCAAAAAUGCAGAAUCCAUCUCCUGUUUUGCAUUCUUCACAAUGUCAUCUGUCAAAAGCAAUUCCAAACAAAAUAUAUUUAUUUUUUUAAUUUUAUCAAAUUUCAAGUGGACGAUCAAGUUUUGUGUGAAAAAAAGGCUAAAAGUGUCUUUGGUCAAACUAAACAAGAGUGAUGGCGGCGGCAGCGUCAUCAUCGGUCUGGUCCGUUCCUGAUCGACUUUCCAAUACGACCGACGGAACAACUUCCUAUCCCGGGACGAUCCGUUGCAGAUCGGCAAUCGAAGAUCCUGUCGCGGUAGAUACAACAUUGUCUUCCAGACUACAAAAUACGCGAGACCUUAAACGAUGAUGGACUUGAGGCAGCAGGAGGAAGUUUCAUGUGACCACGAGUGGAGAAAGUCAUAUUUAUAAAAAAUGAAAAUAAAUGAGAAAAUAUGUAUCUUCUUAGUUUUUGUUUCUUUGCAAAGA